UGUGUGUGUGUGUGUGUGUGUGUGUGUAUAUAUAUAUAUAUAUAUAUAUAUGUGUACACACACACACUCACAGACACACACA